AAAACCCAGCUCGCUCCACUGAGCCAGGCGGCGUCUCCCAGGGCCCAGAGUCCGAGGCCAGCUCCUGGAGUCCACCCAGUCAGCAGGCAGGAUCCACUCAGACACGCUUUCCACCUUGUCAUGAAGAGCUGUCAAAGAAGUGGGGUGCUACUGUCGCUCAGAAUAUGUCCCUGUCAGCAGUUAAGAGCAAGUCACCAUUCUGGAAGCCACUGUGCUGUUUGACCCCGAGCACAAAGGUGUGGCCUCUACUGAGAACAAUAAAGAAAUUGUCUGAGUUAAAGAGAAAUGGUCUGAGGAAGAAAGGGCUAACCUGGCAGGAAAAGUCCAUGCGUACAUGGCAAUGGCUUCUCCAGACAACAGCGGCAUCACCCCCUCUGGCUCGUGGAAAUCCGCCGCACUGAGCUGUGCUGCUCGUCACAUCCUCAGCGUCCCAGCCGGCGUGGAGAGAAUAUUUCCUAAAUUCAGCGUCAGCCAAGACGGCUGGAGAACAAGCCUUGGAAGAACUGCUGUGAGCCUGUUAGCCGGACUUUCGGAAUGUACCGUGAAGCCCCUCAUACGAAGCGGAAGUCACCCACGGUCAACCGUUUAUUACAAAGAAAAGAGUCAUUGUUCACGGGGAUUAGAGAGAAUCGAUUCACAAACCCAGAGGUUGGGCACAGUGUUCUGAGUUCAAUUAACGUUUUACGUAAAAUUCUGUUUGUUACAGGAUCUGGGGCUCCACUAGGUGUGGGGACCAUCUAGUGGUUCUACCUAUUAUGUAGCUAAAUAUGGUUCAUGAAAUAAACCACAGCAUCCCACUGUUUUUACUUUCUCUUA